AAACUGAAGAGUUUGAUCCUGGCUCAGAUUGAACGCUGGCGGCAUGCCUUACACAUGCAAGUCGAACGGCAGCACGGGUGCUUGCACCUGGUGGCGAGUGGCGAACGGGUGAGUAAUACAUCGGAACAUGUCCUGUAGUGGGGGAUAGCCCGGCGAAAGCCGGAUUAAUACCGCAUACGAUCUACGGAUGAAAGCGGGGGACCUUCGGGCCUCGCGCUAUAGGGUUGGCCGAUGGCUGAUUAGCUAGUUGGUGGGGUAAAGGCCUACCAAGGCGACGAUCAGUAGCUGGUCUGAGAGGACGACCAGCCACACUGGGACUGAGACACGGCCCAGACU
rnacentral:rRNA from 1 species